rnacentral:rRNA from 1 species
UGGGCGAUAUUGCACAAUGGGCGAAAGCCUGAUGCAGCGACGCCGCGUGGGGGAUGAAGGCUUUCGGGUUGUAAACCUCUUUCGCUAUCGAACAAGGCCCGCUUAGGGUGGGUUGAGGGUAGGUGGAGAAGAAGCGCCGGCUAACUACGUGCCAGCAGCCGCGGUAAUACGUAGGGCGCGAGCGUUGUCCGGAAUUAUUGGGCGUAAAGGGCUUGUAGGCGGCUUGUUGCGCCUGCUGUGAAAACGCGGGGCUUAACUUCGCGCGUGCAGUGGGUACGGGCAGGCUUGAGUGUGGUAGGGGUGACUGGAAUUCCAGGUGUAGCGGUGGAAUGCGCAGAUAUCUGGAGGAACACCAGUGGCGAAGGCGGCUCUCUGGUCUGUAACUGACGCUGAGGCUCGAAAGCGUGGGGAGCAAACAGG